rnacentral:rRNA from 1 species
UGAGCUUGAUCCUGGCUCAGGAUGAACGCUAGCGGCAGGCUUAACACAUGCAAGUCGAGGGGUAUAUUUCUUCGGAGAUAGAGACCGGCGCACGGGUGCGUAACGCGUAUGCAAUCUACCUUUUACAGAGGGAUAGCCCAGAGAAAUUUGGAUUAAUACCUCAUAGUAUAUAGACCUGGCAUCAGGAUUAUAUUAAAGUCACAACGGUAAAAGAUGAGCAUGCGUCCCAUUAGCUAGUUGGUAAGGUAACGGCUUACCAAGGCUACGAUGGGUAGGGGUCCUGAGAGGGAGAUCCCCCACACUGGUACUGAGACACGGACCAGACUCCUACGGGAGGCAGCAGUGAGGAAUAUUGGACAAUGGGCGCAAGCCUGAUCCAGCCAUGCCGCGUGCAGGAUGACGGUCCUAUGGAUUGUAAACUGCUUUUAUACGAGAAGAAACACUGCUUCGUGAAGCAGCUUGACGGUAUCGUAG